UCCCAGACUCCUACGGGAGGCAGCAGUGGGGAAUAUUGCACAAUGGGGGGAACCCUGAUGCAGCGACGCCGCGUGGGUGAAGGAGCCCCUCGGUGCGUAAAGCCCUAUCGGCAGGGAAGAAACAGACGGUACCUGACUAAGAAGCCCCGGCUAACUACGUGCCAGCAGCCGCGGUAAUACGUAGGUGGCAAGCGUUGUCCGGAAUUACUGGGUGUAAAGGGAGCGCAGGCGGGAAGCCAAGUCAGCUGUGAAAACUACGGGCGUAACUUGUAGACUGCAGUUGAAACUGGUUUUCUUGAGUGAAGUAGAGGUUGGCGGAAUUCCGAGUGUAGCGGUGAAAUGCGUAGAUAUUCGGAGGAACACCGGUGGCGAAGGCGGCCAACUGGGCUUUAACUGACGCUGAGGCUCGAAAGUGUGGGGAGCAAACAGGAUUAGAUACCCGAGUAAC
rnacentral:rRNA from 1 species